rnacentral:tRNA from 1 species
GGGCGGGUCACCUAGAGGUCGGGUGGCGGACUGCAGAUCCGCAUACGCGGGUUCAAAUCCCGCCCCGCCCU